rnacentral:rRNA from 1 species
GAUAAACGCUGGCGGCGUGCCUUAUGCAUGCAAGUCGUACGAGUCCAAGGCUUCGGCCUGAAGACUAGUGGCGGACGGGUGAGUAACACGUACGUGACCUAUCCAGAAGUGGGAAUAACCAGCCGAAAGGUUGGCUAAUACCGCAUGAGGUCACCUCUUGGAAGGGGAGUGACGAAAGACCGAAAGGACGCUUUUGGUAGGGGCGGUGCGGCCGAUUAGCUAGUUGGUGUGGUAACGGCGCACCAAGGCGGU